CUUGUGGAUACAGCUCCCAUUCACCGUCAUCAACCUGUGAGUUAUGGCAUUCUACAUAGAUGAAAUUAAAUAAAGAUGGUAAAAAUGCAGUCACCGCCCCCUCCAAAAUGGUCUACAUUUUGAAACCACCUUGAGACGAAUAGGAUCGGUAUUAGGGGUUAUUUGGGUAUUGAGGGCAUAACAAUAAAUAGUUAGGGAGUGGGUUAUAUUUGGUUAUAAAUAGAGGGAUAGGGGAAUGGAGAAGAGAAGCAAUAUUUGGGUUUUAGGGCUUGAGAUUGUGAUCUCAAGAAGGGAGGAUCCAAGUACCUCGAAUAACUUGAUUUAUUGUUUAUUUCUAUUAUUUUUUAUAUUCAAUAUAUUCGGGUUCUAUCAAAGGCACACACCACAAUUAUUUCAUACAAUAAAUUUAAAAUUCUAGAGUUUCUUUCUAUACGCUGAC
rnacentral:lncRNA from 1 species